rnacentral:lncRNA from 1 species
AUAUUCUUUAAAUUCCACACAAUCAACAUUUAACACAAAGUCUCUCAAGUGUCAAGCCAUUACAGAUGAUAUUCUUUAAAUUCCACACCAUCAACAUUCAACACAACUCAAGGACAAUAUGCCACUAAUUCAUUCACACACUAAUAAUUCACUUCCGAAAAUCAAACAUGUGAAGAAUAAAAUUACAAUUAGGCAUGUAAUUCACU